rnacentral:siRNA from 1 species
ACACUUUUGGUGUCGAUCAACAC